rnacentral:rRNA from 1 species
AUGCACGCUGGCGGCGUGCCUCAUCCCUGCAAGUCGAGCGAACAGACGAGGAGCUUGCUCCUCUGACGUUAGCGGCGGACGGGUGAGUAACACGUGGAUAACCUACCUAUAAGACUGGGAUAACUUCGGGAAACCGGAGCUAAUACCGGAUAAUACAUUGAACCGCAUGGUUCAAUAGUGAAAGACGGUUUUGCUGUCACUUAUAGAUGGAUCCGCGCCGCAUUAGCUAGUUGGUAAGGUAACGGCUUACCAAGGCAACGAUGCGUAGCCGACCUGAGAGGGUGAUCGGCCACACUGGAACUGAGACACGGUCCAGACUCCUACGGGAGGCAGCAGUAGGGAAUCUUCCGCAAUGGGCGAAAGCCUGACGGAGCAACGCCGCGUGAGUGAUGAAGGUCUUCGGAUCGUAAAACUCUGUUAUUAGGGAAGAACAAAUGUGUAAGUAACUAUGCACGUCUUGACGGUACCUAAUCAGAAAGCCACGGCUAACUACGUG